rnacentral:rRNA from 1 species
ACGCUGGCGGCGUGCCUAAUACAUGCAAGUAGAACGCUGAAGGAGGAGCUUGCUUCUCUGGAUGAGUUGCGAACGGGUGAGUAACGCGUAGGUAACCUGCCUGGUAGCGGGGGAUAACUAUUGGAAACGAUAGCUAAUACCGCAUAACAGUAGAUGUUGCAUGACAUUUGCUUAAAAGGUGCAAUUGCAUCACUACCAGAUGGACCUGCGUUGUAUUAGCUAGUUGGUGGGGUAACGGCUCACCAAGGCGACGAUACAUAGCCGACCUGAGAGGGUGAUCGGCCACACUGGGACUGAGACACGGCCCAGACUCCUACGGGAGGCAGCAGUAGGGAAUCUUCGGCAAUGGACGGAAGUCUGACCGAGCAACGCCGCGUGAGUGAAGAAGGUUUUCGGAUCGUAAAGCUCUGUUGUAAGAGAAGAACGGGUGUGAGAGUGGAAAGUUCACACUGUGACGGUAUCUUACCAGAAAGGGACGGCUAACUACGUGCCAGCAGCCGCGGUAAUACGUAGGUCCCGAGCGUUGUCCGGAUUUAUUGGGCGUAAAGCGAGCGCAGGCGGUUAGAUAAGUCUGAAGUUAAAGGCUGUGGCUUAACCAUAGUACGCUUUGGAAACUGUUUAACUUGAGUGCAAGAGGGGAGAGUGGAAUUCCAUGUGUAGCGGUGAAAUGCGUAGAUAUAUGGAGGAACACCGGUGGCGAAAGCGGCUCUCUGGCUUGUAACUGACGCUGAGGCUCGAAAGCGUGGGGAGCAAACAGGAUUGGAUACCCUGGUAGUCCACGCCGUAAACGAUGAGUGCUAGGUGUUAGACCCUUUCCGGGGUUUAGUGCCGCAGCUAACGCAUUAAGCACUCCGCCUGGGGAGUACAACCGCAAGGUUGAAACUCAAAGGAAUUGACGGGGGGCCCCGCACAAGCGGU